rnacentral:rRNA from 1 species
UGUUUUAGCGGCGGACGGGUGAGUAACGCGUGAGCAACCUCUCUCUCAGUGGGGAAUAACACAGGGAAACUUGUACUAAUACCGCAUGAGACCACAGUGUCGCAUGACACAGGGGUCAAAGAUUUAUCGCUGAGAGGUGGGCUCGCGUCUGAUUAGAUAGUUGGUGAGGUAACGGCUCACCAAGUCGACGAUCAGUAGCCGACCUGAGAGGGUGAUCGGCCACAUUGGGACUGAGACACGGCCCAAACUCCUACGGGAGGCAGCAGUGGGGAAUAUUGGGCAAUGGGGGAAACCCUGACCCAGCAACGCCGCGUGGAGGAAGAAGGUUUUCGGAUCGUAAACUCCUGUCCUCAAGGAAGAGUAGAAGACGGUACUUGAGGAGGAAGCCCCGGCUAACUACGUGCCAGCAGCCGCGGUAAUACGUAGGGGGCAAGCGUUGCCCGGAAUGAUUGGGCGUAAAGGGCGCGUAGGCGGCUCUGUAAGUCUGGAGUGAAAGUCCUGCUUUCAAGGUGGGAAUUGCUUUGGAUACUGCAGAGCUUGAGUGCAGGAGAGGUAAGUGGAAUUCCCAGUGUAGCGGUGAAAUGCGUAGAGAUUGGGAGGAACACCAGUGGCGAAGGCGACUUACUGGACUGUAACUGACGCUGAGGCGCGAAAGUGUGGGGAGCAAACAGGAAUAGAUACCUUGGUAGUCCCACACUGUAAACGAUGAAUGCUAGGGGUAAGGGGGGAUUGGACCCCCUUCUGUGCCGGAGUUUAACACAAUAAGCAUUCCGCCUGGGGAGUACGGCCGCAAGGUUGAAACUCAAAGGAAUUGACGGGGGCCCGCACAAGCAGCGGAGCAUGUGGUUUAAUUCGAUGAUACGCGAGGAACCUUACCCGGGCUUAAAUUGCAGGGGACAGACCGAGAGAUCGGUCCUUCUUCGGACUCCUGUGAAGGUGCUGCAUGGUUGUCGUCAGCUCGUGCCGUGAGGUGUCGGCUUAAGUGCCAUAACGAGCGCAACCCUUGCCAAUAGUUACUAACAGGUUAUGCUGAGGACUCUAUUGGGACUGCCAUCGUAAGAUGUGAGGAAGGUGGGGAUGACGUCAAAUCAGCACGGCCCUUACGUCCGGGGCUACACACGUGUUACAAUGGGAGGUACAGAAGGCCGCUACCCGGCGACGGGAUGCCAAUCCCCAAAACCUCUCUCAGUUCGGAUUGGAGUCUGCAACCCGACUCCAUGAAGCUGGAUUCGCUAGUAAUCGCGCAUCAGCCACGGCGCGGUGAAUACGUUCCCGGGCCUUG